UACGGAGGGUGCAAGCGUUUGUCCGGAUUUAUUGGGUUUAAAGGGUGCGUAGGCGGCUAAUUAAGUCAGCGGUGAAAUUCCACAGCUUAACUGUGAGAACUGCCAUUGAUACUGGUUGGCUUGAGUACAGAUGAGGUAGGCGGAAUUGACAGUGUAGCGGUGAAAUGCUUAGAUAUUGUCAAGAACACCUAUUGCGAAGGCAGCUUACUAAACUGUAACUGACGCUGAGGCACGAAAGCGUGGGGAUCAAACAGG
rnacentral:rRNA from 1 species